CCAGACUCCUACGGGAGGCAGCAGUAGGGAAUUUUCGUCAAUGGGCGCAAGCCUGAACGAGCGAUGCCGCGUGAGUGAAGAAGGCCUUCGGGUCGUAAAGCUCUGUUGCGGGGGAAAAAAGGCAGCAUCAGGAAAUGGGUGCUGACUGAUGGUGCCCCGCCAGAAAGUCACGGCUAACUACGUGCCAGCAGCCGCGGUAAUACGGAGGAUGCGAGCGUUAUCCGGAUUUAUUGGGUUUAAAGGGUGCGUAGGCGGACGCUUAAGUCAGCGGUAAAAUUGCGGGGCUCAACCUCGUCGAGCCGUUGAAACUGGGUGCCUUGAGUGGGCGAGAAGUACGCGGAAUGCGUGGUGUAGCGGUGAAAUGCAUAGAUAUCACGCAGAACUCCGAUUGCGAAGGCAGCGUACCGGCGCCCAACUGACGCUGAAGCACGAAGGCGUGGGUAUCGAACAGGAUUAGAUACCCGGGUAUG
rnacentral:rRNA from 1 species